rnacentral:lncRNA from 1 species
CAUAUGAUAAAAUAGAGCAUUUUAAAAACAAGUUUUUGAAAAGAUUAAGAAUUUAUAAAAAGCUCUAAGAAGGAAACUUCAAAUACGGAUCUCAAUCACAAGCAAGGUAUAAUACCUGUUUCUACCUUGAUGAAUUCAGCUGGAUGUCCCAGAUUGAAAUUCGAAGGCUCACCAAUAUUUACCUUUUUUCAGUCCAAAGCUAAGAGCAACA